rnacentral:rRNA from 1 species
UACAGAGGGUGCGAGCGUUGUCCGGAAUCACUGGGCGUAAAGGGCGCGUAGGCGGCUUCUCACGCGUGCGGUGAAAGCUCGGGGCUUAACUCCGAGUCUGCCGUGCGAACGGGGAGGCUUGAGUCUGGUAGAGGUCGAUGGAAUUCCGGGUGUAGCGGUGAAAUGCGCAGAUAUCAGGAAGAACACCUAUGGCGAAGGCAGCUCGCUGGGACGGUACUGACGCUAAGGCGCGAAAAGCGUGGGGAGCAAACAGG